rnacentral:rRNA from 1 species
AUUGAACGCUGGCGGCAGGCCUAACACAUGCAAGUCGAACGCGUGGCGGACGGGUGUGUUAUGUGUGGGACUCUGCCUGCUGGAGGGGUAUAUCCACUGGAAACUGUAUCUAACACCAUAUUCCCCCAUAUGCGCCCAGAUGGGAUUAGCUUGUUGGUGGGGUAACGGCUCACCAAGGCGACGAUCCCUAGCUGGUCUGAGAGGAUGACCAGCCACACUGGAACUGAGACACGGUCCAGACGCCUACGGGAGGCAGCAGUGGGGAAUAUGGCACAAUGGGCGCAAGCCUGAUGCAGCCAUGCCGCGUGUGUGAAGAAGGCCUUCGGGUUGUAAAGUACUUUCAGCGGGGAGGCGUUACCCGCAGAAGAAGCACCGGCUAACUCCGGGCCAGCCGCCGCGGUAAUUC